GGGCAGAAGUAGCCUCCUCCGCAUUCAUCUCUUUAGUUAUUCAAAUAAAUAACUGAUGUUAGCACAAAGCUUCUGCCGAGAAGAAAUACGAGAGGACUUUGCUUGCAGUUGCAGGGUACGAUCGAAUGGACAACAAUUUAAGAAGUCCGACGUCAGUUAAAGAUACAGAGGAAACAAAGCAAGUGAAAGUGACCAGCGAUAUUAUUAAAACAUCCAACGAAACAGAAGAUGCCUCAUUACGAAAGGUG